GACGAACGCUGGCGGCGUGCCUAACACAUGCAAGUCGAGCGAGAGACUUCGGUCUCUAGCGGCGGACGGGUGAGUAACACGUGGGUAAGCUGCCUCAGAGAGGGGGAUAGCCUCCCGGAAGGGAGAUUAAUACCGCAUAAUAUGUAUUGAUUGCAUGAUCAAUACAUGAAAGGAGAAAUCCGGUAUGAGAUGGACCCGCGGCGCAUUAGCUAGUUGGGGAGGAAACGGCCUACCAAGGCGACGAUGCGUAGCCGACCUGAGAGGGUGAUCGGCCACAUUGGAACUGAGAAACGGUCCAGACUCCUACGGGAGGCAGCAGUGGGGAAUAUUGCACAAUGGGGGAAACCCUGAUGCAGCAACGCCGCGUGAGUGAAGAAGGCCUUCGGGUUGUAAAGCUCUGUCAUUGGGGACGAUAAUGACGGUACCCAAUUAGGAAGCCACGGCUAACUACGUGCCAGCCGCCGCUGUAA
rnacentral:rRNA from 1 species